GCCUGGGUGGCUCAGUAGGUUAAAGCGUCUGACUUUGGCUCAGGUCAUGAUCUCAUGGUCUGUGGGUUUGAGCCCCGCAUUGGGCU
rnacentral:tRNA from 1 species